AUAAAAGCAUUGCACAAGAGGAGUAAUACGAAUUUUAGUUGAUAGAGAGAGAAGGGUUGGUGAAACUUCUUAACAAAUUUGUAUGAAGGUAGCUUGUAAGUUGGCUAGGGGAAUCAUAGUAACUUAGCUCGGAGUAGACUUCGUUAACAACGUUAAAGGCAUCAGUUAUGAUGCGAAUAUUAGGUGGUACCACGAAAAUAAUCGUCCUAUGA
rnacentral:ncRNA from 1 species